rnacentral:rRNA from 1 species
UACGUAGGGUGCAAGCGUUGUCCGGAAUUAUUGGGCGUAAAGAGCUCGUAGGCGGUCUGUCGCGUCGGAUGUGAAAACCCAGGGCUCAACCCUGGGCCUGCAUUCGAUACGGGCAGACUAGAGUUCGGUAGGGGAGACUGGAAUUCCUGGUGUAGCGGUGAAAUGCGCAGAUAUCGGGAGGAACACCUAUGGCGAAGGCAGCUCGCUGGGACGUUACUGACGCUGAGACGCGAAAGCGUGGGGAGCAAACAGG